CCUACGGGUGGCAGCAGUCGAGAAUCAUUCACAAUGGGGGAAACCCUGAUGGUGCGACGCCGCGUGGGGGAAUGAAGGUCUUCGGAUUGAAAACCCCUGUCAUGUGGGAGCAAAUUAAAAAGAUAGUACCACAAGAGGAAGCGACGGCUAACUCUGUGCCAGCAGCCGCGGUAAUACAGAGGUCUCACGCGUUGUUCGGAAUCACUGGGCGUAAAGCGUGCGUAGGCUGUUUCGUAAGUCGUGUGUGAAAGGCGCGGGCUCAACCCGCGGACGGCACAAGAUAAUGCGAGAAUAGAGGAAUGGAGGGGGAACCGGAAUUCUCGGUGUAGCAGUGAAAUGCGUAGAUAUCGAGAGGAACACUCGUGGCGAAGGCGGGUUCCUGGACAUUAACUGACGCUGAGGCACGAAGGCCAGGGGAGCGAAAGGGAUUAGAUACCCGGGUAGUC
rnacentral:rRNA from 1 species